AUGAGUAAUCUAUAUAAGCAGCCUACAAGUGGGAGUGAACCUCCUGCUAAAAAUCCUCAAAUUGACGGGAAAGCCCUAAAGCUAUUUCAACCAAGCAAGUAUGGUAACAUAAUUUGUGGCACAGGUAAUGACUCGUGGUAUGGUAAAAUCGAAAUAGAUUAUGAAAGUAAAUGGGUAAUCCGCAGCCAAGCAGCAUGAUAAUUUUGUAUUAUUAUGGUGUGCAGUUCAUCGACUAGAUGUGGGUUGGCGCUAUUUAAUAGUGCUUAAGAUAUAGUCAAGCCUCACCUGAAAGGGUGCA
rnacentral:ncRNA from 1 species